CUUUCUCUCUUUUCAGGGUCCCACUCUGUGGCCUAAGCUGGAGUGCAGUGGCAGUAUCAGGGCCCGCUACAUCCUUGACCUCCUGGGCUCAAACAAUCUCUCAUCUCAGCCUCCCAAGUAGCUGGCACUAUAGGGAUGGAGGCCUCACUUUGUUGCCAGCUGGUCUCGAGCUCCUGGCUUCAGGUGAUCCUCCCAUCUCAGCCUCCCAAAAUGCUGAGAAGGCAGCUGUGAGCCACUGUGACCAGCCAGCAUGUCUUUUUUUGAUCUGCCCAGUACCAACCCUCAUUCUGGGAAUCGCUCUUUCUGUUCCUUUAACCUGAUGAUUCCUGUGGGAGCAGCUGUGCUCUGACAUGGCCUGGCCCUGCCUAGGGCUGAUUAGAGAAAAACAGUACCAAUGAUCCUCUUCUCUGGGAUAUUCGAACCUGAUUCCAGGGGUGAUUAUCAAUAUCUGCAACAAUCAGGGAGAUCCGGGUACCCACCAAUUAAGACAGACAUUGGCUGAAAAACAAUUGAUAUGGGUGCAGCAGUGCACGCAGGCUGAAGAGCACCCUUGUUUGAGAAGAAGGAACAUAGGGAUUCCCUCUUUGGGGGCAGAAGUUGGAAACUGUGCAUUGGGGAGGCCUGUUUUCUUCCUGUAGACUAAUCUCAUUGUGGUGAAUAGGAAUGAGGCCAACGGCAAGAUCUGGAGAUGGAAGAAGCUCCUGAAGAUGUUGAAACCCCUGGUCCCAGCUGUUCUGUGGGCCAGCUGGAUUCCUGCCCUUCUAUAGCUGUAUUGCUCAAUCGUUUCCUGGGAUCUGGGAGCAAAUAAAUUUCAUUUUUGGCCCAA
rnacentral:lncRNA from 1 species